rnacentral:rRNA from 1 species
CCUACGGGUGGCAGCAGUGAGGAAUAUUGGUCAAUGGGCGAAAGUCUGAACCAGCCAAGUAGCGUGAAGGAUGACUGCCCUAUGGGUUGUAAACUUCUUUUAUAUGGGAAUAAAACGUUCCACGUGUGGGAUUUUGUAUGUACCAUAUGAAUAAGGAUCGGCUAACUCCGUGCCAGCAGCCGCGGUAAUACGGAGGGUCCGAGCGUUAUCCGGAUUUAUUGGGUUUAAAGGGAGCGUAGGUGGAUUGUUAAGUGUGUUGUGAAAGGUUGCGGCUCAACCUGAGACUUGCAGUUGAAACUGGCAGUCUUGAGUACGGGAGAGGUAGGCGGAAUUCGUGGUGUAGCGGUGAAAUGCUUAGAUAUGACGAAGAACUCCGAUUGCGAAGGCAGUUCACUGGACUGGAACUGACACUGAGGCUCGAAAGUGUGGGUAUCAAACAGGAUUAGAUACCCUAGUAGUC